GUACUACUCCCUCCGUCCAACAAAGGAUGUCUCAAUUUUGACCAAAUUUGAAUGCAUUUAUACACUAAGUCAUGUCUAGAUACAUCCAAAUUUUGACAAACUUGUGACAUCUUUUGUUGGAUGGUUGGGGUAUCUU
rfam:Brachypodium distachyon strain Bd21 chromosome 2, whole genome shotgun sequence.